rnacentral:rRNA from 1 species
GAUGAACGCUGGCGGCGUGCCUAAUACAUGCAAGUAGAACGCUGAAGGAAGGAGCUUGCUCUUUCCGGAUGAGUUGCGAACGGGUGAGUAACGCGUAGGUAACCUGCCUGGUAGCGGGGGAUAACUAUUGGAAACGAUAGCUAAUACCGCAUAACAGUAGAUGUUGCAUGAUAUCUACUUAAAAGGUGCAAUUGCACCACUACCAGAUGGACCUGCGUUGUAUUAGCUAGUUGGUGAGGUAACGGCUCACCAAGGCGACGAUACAUAGCCGACCUGAGAGGGUGAUCGGCCACACUGGGACUGAGACACGGCCCAGACUCCUACGGGAGGCAGCAGUAGGGAAGCUUCGGCAAUGGACGGAAGUCUGACCGAGAAACGCCGCGUGAGUGAAGAAGGUUUUCGGAUCGUAAAGCUCGGUUGUAAGAGAAGAACGAGUGUGAGAGUGGAAAGUUCACACUGUGACGGUAUCUUACCAGAAAGGGACGGCUAACUACGUG